GUAUUAACCCAUUUAGGGUUUUAACACAACAUCGCUUCCUUUGUUCCAGUUUUUUUAUUUCUUUUUUUUCCUUUUUUAUUUUUUUUCCUUUAUUGUAUUAACCCAGUCAGAGAACUAGAGAAGACACCGCGAUUAAGGUUUUAACAAAGCAGCAGUCCCUGCAUUGAAGUGAACGGAGAACGGUGAACCACAGGCGCCUCCACCUCCGUCGAUCGCCGACUGCCGGCCGUCCUCUUCUCCACCAGACACAGACACCAGUCAGCGAUUAAGAUAACAUUUCCAAGUGGGAGGAACGUGUAUGCAUAAACAGUGAAAGAAAGUUUUUCAAAUCUAAAGUCAGUGGAUCUAUUACACCUGCUGUUGGAAUGCUUUUUAAGUCAUUUGAUGAGGCAUUUGCAUUUUAUCAGAGAUAUGCACUUGCUGCAGGUUUUUCUGCAAGAAAAAAUACCUCUUGGAAAAAUGUUGGUGGUUUAAUAAAAAUAAGAUAUAUUGUCUGUUCAAAAGAAGGAUUUCAUGUUAGCAAAGAAAUAGAUUCUGGUUCAGUUGAGAAUAGUAAAAAGAUUGUUAGACGUAAUAGAGGUUCAAAAGAGUUGGAUGCAAUGCUUAUGUGAAACUAAUAUUAGAGAACAAUAAUAUGUUUAAAAUCUACUACUUUGAAGAAGAACAUAAUCAUAUCUUUGUUGAAGAUGAAGAUUUCAUUUCUUGCCGGCUGCCAGAAGUAUCGAUUAUGUGAAAGAAAGUUUUAUAUCUGGAUUGUCUGCAAUCAAUAUUGGACCUGUUAAAGCAUUCAAUAUUAUGAAAACAAUGUAUGGUGGUUUUGGUGAAGUUGGAGCUAGUAAAGUUGAUUGUAAGAAUUAUAGAAGGGAUUUGAAUCUUUACAUCGGAGAGUAUGAUGCAGAAAUGGUAGUUAGGCGUCUUAUUAGGAAGAAAGAAUGUAGUCCUGGUUUCACAUGUGAUUAUGUUAUUGGUGAAGAUAGAAGAUUGAAAGGGCUUUUCUGGGCUGAUGAGCAAUCAAAAAAAAUUAUACAGUGUUUGGUGACAUAUUUGGUUUUGAUGCUACUUAUAAAUCAAACAAGUAUGAUUUGGUUUUUGUACCAUUUACUAGUAUUGAUAAUCAUUUUAGGAAUGUCACAUUUGGUGGUGCAUUACUUGGUUCGAAGACUGCAGAUUCGUAUAGAUGGCUUUUAAGAUGCUUUGUUAAUGCUUUUGGAAAUGAGCCUAAAGUUGUUGUUACUGAUCAAGAUGCUGCAAUGAAGAGAGCUAUUAAGGAUGUACUUCCAAGAAGUAGGCAUAGGUUAUGUAUGUGGCAUAUAUGGGAGAAAUUGAAGACAAAUGUAUUAACUGCGUUUUAUGAUAUAACA